UACGAAGGGGGCUAGCGUUGCUCGGAAUCACUGGGCGUAAAGCGCACGUAGGCGGAUCGUUAAGUCAGGGGUGAAAUCCUGGAGCUCAACUCCAGAACUGCCUUUGAUACUGGCGAUCUUGAGUUCGGGAGAGGUGAGUGGAACUGCGAGUGUAGAGGUGAAAUUCGUAGAUAUCGGGAGGAACACCAGUGGCGAAGGCGACUUCCUGGCCUGUUCUUGACGCUGAGGCGCGAAAGCUAGGGUAGCAAACGGG
rnacentral:rRNA from 1 species